ACUCCUGCUUUCACCUAAGCUGGACCAGGUCUACAGUCACCUGCUGGCUUCAUAACACAUUGCCAGUUUAAGCAACUCACAAGUGUAUGUGGACAUAAAAACAAGCUUCAUAUAUUGUGUGUCAUAGGGGACUGCCCUACCUGCCAAGGGUCUCACUGGAUCUCUGUACUCAUUUCCUGUUGCCAGCUGGUGGACAAUAUGGUGCUAAGAACUCAAGAAGUUGGUCCUCACGUUGAACCUCAGAGGUCACCAAACCUUUCUGGAUAGCUGCUAGGGAGUUUCUGGAGGUGCUCAAUAGUGACAUAUGUCAAGUUGAGAAGGGACAGCUGAUCUUCCAGGGUAGAGAUGGAUCCACUCCCCACUCUCAUAAAGAAGAUGUGGGUUUGUUUGACCUUCACUAUAUAGGAAAAAGCCUCACAAAUUCUUCAGCCCCUUGGAUGGAGGCUCAGCCUCCACACUGUAAAAUGCGGACAUAAUAACUUUUACAUAAUUUGAAAGGUUUCAUAAGAAUUGUCCCCCUAAUAUAUAUGAAGUGCCAUCCAAAUUAGAUUAACACAAGAGGAUUAUAUAAACACAGUGUAUUAUUUUUAUUAUUCUCAACUUAUCACAAUGGUCACCAUCCAACUUCUCAGUAGGAGUUAGGUUAAAGCUCACAGCUCACAGCACCCGUGGAGGCCAAAUCAUGCUGGGAUGGACCCUCUGUAUUUGCAGCCCAAACGUGUGUCUGUGAGCUGCAUGUGUUAAAACGUGUUUGCAUUUGGGAUGGGGACUGAGGAAGCAUCUGGGGACUGGACAGAAGAGUUUCCCCAGGAUGCAGUACUUUGAACAAACCAUGGAUUCCAGAAAAGACAUCUGUUUCCAUCAAGAACUAACAUGGAAUAAUAACAAAGAAGAUGUGGCCACAUGCUCUCAGGUAGAAACUGAAGGUCAAAGAAGAGAUAUGAGAAGGAGUUUUCCCAUCAAGGGAGGUCCUUUUCUGAUGGAUGACUAAGCCCUGAGAAAUGCUUAGAAAUAGGCAAGAGGGGAUGAAUGCUGCUCUACAUUCAGGUAGCUUUUUGGCUUGGCAAAACUUUAAAAUGUGAUGAAAUCUCUAGAGAGCAAGAAAAAAAAGAUACAGAAAUGGAAAAACCCUUAUGGACCCCAACAACAACAACAACAACAAAACUGUUCUCUAUUACCAUGGUCCCAUCUAUUCCUAUUGAAAUGUAGACCAAGAUGGAUAAGAUGAAUAUUGUAUGUUGACACAGCAAAAUAAUCUGCAGUAACAAAGCCAUGCCUUUGCUUCCUAAAGUUAUCAGAAUGGCACCUUAAAAUUAUGGUCAUAAAGGAACCUGUGAUUGGCCAUACGUUUGAGUUUUCAAGAAGAGAUCUUACACGGAACAUGAGAAAACUACAGUGACUCUCUUGAGAUUUUUCGAAUGACACACAAGCACCAAAGAGGAACUUUUGCCUUUUCGGACAAGUUAAGUACAUUAAAUAUAAUAAGGUCUGAUAAAUCAGAAACAAAAAGUGAAAUUCAUGUUAAGGCCUCAACUCAGUGUUUUAGAAGAGAAUUUUUCUGGGUUUUAUAGUAUCUGACAGUUAAUAGGCCAGGCACAGUGGCUCACACCUGUAGUCUCAGCACUUUAGAAGACAGAGACAAGUGGAUCUCUUGAGCCCAGGAGUUCGAGAACAGCCUGGGCAAUAUUGUGAGGCCCCCAUCUCUACUAAAAAUAACAAAAUCAGCUAUUAGCUGGGCAUGAUGGCAUGCAUCUGUGGUCCUAGCUACCGGGGAGGCUGAGGUGGGAGGAUUGCUUGAGCCUGGGAGGCAGAGUUUGCAGUGAGCCAUGAUUGCACCACUGCAUUCCAGCCUGGGUGACAGAAUGAGACCUUUUCUCAAAAAGAUAAAAAAUAAAUAAAAAAUUAAAGGAAUCCA